rnacentral:rRNA from 1 species
GAUGAACGCUGGCGGCGUGCCUAAUACAUGCAAGUCGAGCGAACGGACGAGAAGCUUGCUUCUCUGAUGUUAGCGGCGGACGGGUGAGUAACACGUGGAUAACCUACCUAUAAGACUGGGAUAACUUCGGGAAACCGUAGCUAAUACCGGAUAAUAUUUUGAACCGCAUGGUUCAAAAGUGAAAGACGGUCUUGCUGUCACUUAUAGAUGGAUCCGCGCUGCAUUAGCUAGUUGGUAAGGUAACGGCUUACCAAGGCAACGAUGCAUAGCCGACCUGAGAGGGUGAUCGGCCACACUGGAACUGAGACACGGUCCAGACUCCUACGGGAGGCAGCAGUAGGGAAUCUUCCGAAAUGGGCGAAAGCCUGACGGAGCAACGCCGCGUGAGUGAUGAAGGUCUUCGGAUCGUAAAACGCUGUUAUUAGGGAAGAACAUAUGUGUAAGUAACUGUGCACAUCUUGACGGUACCUAAUCAGAAAGCCACGGCUAACUACGU